rnacentral:lncRNA from 1 species
CCUGAAUGCAGGAACAGCAUAAUAGGAGAUACUCAGUGCCCUGGAUUACCACACUUAAUUGAAAUAAACCAUGAUGUAAAUAAAAUAAAUGUUGAGAUGGAUUGUUUAUCCAGUGAAAUAAUGAGUUUACUUCUUCUUGCUGAUGGAGUAGCAGUUAAUACUAACAAAAAAGAAGAAAUUUCAGAUGUUGUGGUAAGAAGGAAACUAAAUUUUUCAAUUAUACCUCAGAAUGUUUUAAUGAGUAGCUCUGAAAAAAUUAUGCCAUCACAAAAUGACAUCUCACAAACUAACAUUUCUCAGUCAGUUCUAUUUGAUAAUAAAAAUCUCAUUACUGAAUGCCACCUUGUUAAUUCAACCUAAACUGUCAUAGUCCAUUCGUUUAGCUGGAGAGACAUCAAGAACAUGCCAGACACAUUUUAUUUGGUGGUAAGCUGAUUGCUUUUUCACAUUUAA